UAUCACAGCAACGGCCAAUCACAUUGGGUUUGCAUUCACAGAACCCUCCCAGUUUACUGCAGGAUGGUCCGAGAGAGCCGACCACGUUACACCUGCAAACUGACAACAGUUCCUUCACACAGCCUCUCUCAAUGUGUGGAGCAGCUGACUAAAGGCUCACUGGUGGAUCCGUGUUGAACUACUUACGAACGGCUCCGUUGUGGAUUCGUGCCGACAUGCUCUUAAUGAGUCCCUCACAGACUUGUGGUAGUGACUCCUGCGGGCCGAGCUCGGCAGCCAAUCCAAUGCAGCGAAAGCGGCGAAAAGAGUCGAGGUCACUCUGGGAGCAGAAAUCUUGGACAGACUCGAUUCUGGGAAUCAGACCCAUCUAAAAAAAAUCCAUUCAAAAAAGUGAUAAUGGACUCAGAGUUUCUCUCUGACUACAGCUCCAUGUGGACAAAUACAAACACUGACACACCUGCUGUGACAAGUUACUGUUGCGAAGCUAUGACUGGACAGUUCCUGUUUGGGGGAGGAGUUUAGUGAACUGUCAAUCACUCAGAAUGAGUUUUAGUUGAACAGAUGAAGACCUCCUCACCGAGUCGAU